rnacentral:rRNA from 1 species
UACGUAGGGGGCUAGCGUUGCUCGGAAUCACUGGGCGUAAAGGGUGCGUAGGCGGUUCUUUAAGUCAGGGGUGAAAUCCUGGAGCUCAACUCCAGAACUGCCUUUGAUACUGAAGAUCUUGAGUCCGGGAGAGGUGAGUGGAACUGCGAGUGUAGAGGUGAAAUUCGUAGAUAUUCGCAAGAACACCAGUGGCGAAGGCGGCUCACUGGCCCGGUACUGACGCUGAGGCACGAAAGCGUGGGGAGCAAACAGG